GACGAACGCUGGCGGCGUGCCUAAUACAUGCAAGUCGAACGCAUUUUCUUUCACCGUAGCUUGCUACACCGAAAGAAAAUGAGUGGCGAACGGGUGAGUAACACGUGGGUAACCUGCCCAUCAGCGGGGGAUAACACUUGGAAACAGGUGCUAAUACCGCAUAAUUCCAUUUACCGCAUGGUAGAUGGGUGAAAGGCGCUUUUGCGUCACUGAUGGAUGGACCUGCGGUGCAUUAGCUAGUUGGUGGGGUAACGGCCUACCAAGGCUGCGAUGCAUAGCCGACCUGAGAGGGUGAUCGGCCACACUGGGACUGAGACACGGCCCAGACUCCUACGGGAGGCAGCAGUAGGGAAUCUUCGGCAAUGGACGCAAGUCUGACCGAGCAACGCCGCGUGAGUGAAGAAGGUUCUCGGAUCGUAAAACUCUGUUGUUAGAGAAGAACAAGGAUGAGAGUGGAAAGUUCAUCCCUUGACGGUAUCUAACCAGAAAGCCACGGCUAACUACGUG
rnacentral:rRNA from 1 species